UACGUAGGGGGCGAGCGUUGUCCGGAUUUAUUGGGCGUAAAGAGCUCGUAGGCGGUUUGGUAAGUCGGGUGUGAAAUCUCCACGCUCAACGUGGAGGGGCCACUCGAUACUGCCAUGACUCGAGUCCGGUAGAGGAGUGUGGAAUUCCCGGUGUAGCGGUGAAAUGCGCAGAUAUCGGGAGGAACACCCGUAGCGAAGGCGGCACUCUGGGCCGGAACUGACGCUGAGGCGCGAGAGCGCGGGGAGCGAACCGG
rnacentral:rRNA from 1 species